rnacentral:tRNA from 1 species
GCCCCGGUCGUCUAGUGGUCCAGGAAGGUUUGCCCUGGAGUGGCGGCCUGUCGAGCCGCAGAGCCUUAAGGCGCGGAGAACCCGGGUUCGAAUCCCGGCCGGGGCG